AGCAGCCGCGGUAAUUCCAGCUCCAAUAGCGUAUAUUAAAGUUGCUGCAGUUAAAAAGCUCGUAGUUGAAUUUCGGGAUCAUCAUGUCGGUCGUGCCUCGGUACGUACUGGCAUUGUUGGUUUCUACCUUCUGACGAACCAUGAUGUCAUUAUUGGUGUCGUGGGAAAUCAGGACUGUUACUUUGAAAAAAUUAGAGUGUUUAAAGCAGGCUAACGCUUGAAUACAUUAGCAUGGAAUAAUGAAAUAGGACGUUCGAUCCCAUUUUGUUGGUUUCUAGGAUUGACGUAAUGAUUAAUAGGGAUAGUUGGGGGCAUUAGUAUUCAAUUGUCAGAGGUGAAAUUCUUGGAUUUAUUGAAGACUAACUACUGCGAAAGCAUUUUGCCAAGGAUGUUUUCAUUAAGUCAAGAACGAAAGUUAGGGGAUCGAAGACGAUCAGAUACCGUCGUAGUCUUAACCAUAAACUAUGCCGACUAGGGAUCGGAUGAUGUUAAUUUUUUCAAUGACUCAUUCGGCGCCUUA
rnacentral:misc_RNA from 1 species